UACGUAGGGUGCGAGCGUUAAUCGGAAUUACUGGGCGUAAAGGGCGCGUAGGCGGGCAAGCAAGUCGAAGGUGAAAUCCCACGGCUCAACCGUGGAAGUGCCCCCGAUACUGCUUGUCUUGAGGGAGAUAGGGGCGUGCGGAACUUCCGGUGGAGCGGUGAAAUGCGUAGAUAUCGGAAGGAACACCGGUGGCGAAAGCGGCGCGCUGGAUCUCUUCUGACGCUGAGGCGCGAAAGCCAGGGGAGCAAACAGG
rnacentral:rRNA from 1 species